rnacentral:rRNA from 1 species
AUUGAACGCUGGCGGCAUGCCUUACACAUGCAAGUCGAACGGCAGCAUAGGAGCUUGCUCCUGAUGGCGAGUGGCGAACGGGUGAGUAAUAUAUCGGAACGUGCCCUAGAGUGGGGGAUAACUAGUCGAAAGACUAGCUAAUAGCGCAUACGAGCUACGGAUGGAAGUGGGGGAUCGCAAGACCUCAUGCUCCUGGAGCGGCCGAUAUCUGGUUAGCUAGUUGGUGGGGUAAAAGCCUACCAAGGCGACGAUCAGUAGCUGGUCUGAGAGGACGACCAGCCACACUGGGACUGAGACACGGCCCAGACUCCUACGGGAGGCAGCAGUGGGGAAUUUUGGACAAUGGGGGCAACCCUGAUCCAGCAAUGCCGCGUGAGUGAAGAAGGCCUUCGGGUUGUAAAGCUCUUUUGUCAGGGAAGAAACGGUAGUAGCUAAUAUCUAUUACUAAUGACGGUACCUGAAGAAUAAGCACCGGCUAACUACGCGCCAGCCGCCGCAGUAA